GGCCUAAUGGCCCAAUGGCAAGGCGCUUGACUACGAUUCACCAAUCUGACAUCAAGAGAUUCCAGGUUCGACCCCUGGUUAGGUCA
rfam:Pyrenochaeta sp. DS3sAY3a unplaced genomic scaffold IQ07scaffold_5, whole genome shotgun sequence.